UGGGGAAUAUUGGACAAUGGGCGCAAGCCUGAUCCAGCCAUGCCGCGUGAGUGAUGAAGGCCUUAGGGUUGUAAAGCUCUUUUGUACGGGAAGAUAAUGACGGUACCGUAAGAAUAAGCCCCGGCUAACUUCGAGCCAGCAGCCGCGGUAAUACGAAGGGGGCUAGCGUUGCUCGGAAUCACUGGGCGUAAAGGGUGCGUAGGCGGGUUUUUAAGUCAGAGGUGAAAUCCUGGAGCUCAACUCCAGAACUGCCUUUGAUACUGAAAGUCUUGAGUAUGGGAGAGGUGAGUGGAACUGCGAGUGUAGAGGUGAAAUUCGUAGAUAUUCGCAAGAACACCAGUGGCGAAGGCGGCUCACUGGCCCAUUACUGACGCUGAGGCACGAAAGCGUGGGGAGCAAACAGG
rnacentral:rRNA from 1 species